rnacentral:rRNA from 1 species
GACGAACGCUGGCGGCGUGCUUAACACAUGCAAGUGGAGCGACGAACCAGGGCUUGCCCUGGGGCAGAGCCGCGAACGGGUGAGUAACACGUGGGUAACCUGCCCCGAUGACCGGGACAACCCGAGGAAACUCGGGCUAAUACCGGAUGUUCUCGUUUCUCGUAAGGGAAUCGAGCAAAGAUAGCUUUUAGCCUUCGCAUCGGGAGGGGCCCGCGGCCCAUUAGCUUGUUGGUGAGGUAACGGCUCACCAAGGCUGCGAUGGGUAGCUGGUCUGAGAGGACGAUCAGCCACACUGGGACUGAGACACGGCCCAGACUCCUACGGGAGGCAG